GAUGAACGCUGGCGGCGUGCCUAACACAUGCAAGUCGAACGAACAGACGAGGAGCUUGCUCCUCGGACGUUAGCGGCGGACGGGUGAGUAACACGUGGGUAACCUACCUAUAAGACUGGGGUAAUUUAGGGAAACAGAACCGAUGGCAGCGGAUUCUAUUAACCCAUAAGGUCAAAGCGUCAAAUAAGGUUUUGUGGUAAAUUCCGGUGGUAUAAGAUGCACCCGCGUUGGAUUAGAUAGUAGGUAAGGAAACGGCCUACCAAGGCUACGAUGCGUAGCCGACCCCAAAGGGUGAACGGCCACACGGGAUGUGAGACACGGUCCAGACUCCUACGGGAGGCAGCAGUAGGGAAUCUUCCGCAAUGGGGGAGAGCGUGACGGAGCAACGCCGCGGGAGUGAUGAAGGUCUUCGGAUCGUAAAACUCUGUUAUAAGGGAAGAACAAAUGUGUAAGUAACUAUGCACGUCUUGACGGUACCUAAUCAGAAAGCCACGGCUAACUACGUG
rnacentral:rRNA from 1 species